AGCAGCCGCGGUAAUUCCAGCUCCAAUAGCGUAUAUUAAAGUUGUUGCAGUUAAAAAGCUCGUAGUUGAAUUUCGGGGUCAGUAGGUUGGUCGUGCCACCGGUAUGCACUGGCCAUACUGAUUCCUCCUUCUUGAAGAACCGUAAUGUCAUUAACUUGGUGUUGCGGGGAAACAGGACUGUUACUUUGAAAAAAUUAGAGUGUUUAAAGCAGGCUCACGCUUGAAUACAUUAGCAUGGAAUAAUGAAAUAGGACGUUUGAUUCUAUUUUGUUGGUUUCUAGGAUCGACGUAAUGAUUAAUAGGGAUAGUUGGGGGCAUUAGUAUUCAAUUGUCAGAGGUGAAAUUCUUGGAUUUAUUGAAGACUAACUACUGCGAAAGCAUUUGCCAAGGACGUUUUCAUUAAUCAAGAACGAAAGUUAGGGAUCGAAGACGAUCAGAUACCGUCGUAGUCUUAACCAUAAACUAUGCCGACUAGGGAUCGGAUGAUGUUAAUUUUUAUGUACUCAUUCGGCNCGUUACG
rnacentral:rRNA from 1 species